rnacentral:rRNA from 1 species
UUCCAGACUCCUACGGGAGGCAGCAGUCGAGAAUCAUUCACAAUGGGGGAAACCCUGAUGCAGCGACGCCGCGUGGGUGAAGGAGUAUUUCGGUAUGUAAAGCCCUAUCGGCAGGGAAGAAGCAAGACGGUACCUGACUAAGGAGCCCCGGCUAACUACGUGCCAGCAGCCGCGGUAAUACGUAGGGGGCGAGCGUUAUCCGGAUUCACUGGGUGUAAAGGGAGCGUAGACGGCCAUGCAAGCCAGGGGUGAAAGCCCGGGGCCCAACCCCGGGACUGCCCUUGGAACUGCAGGGCUGGAGUGCGGGAGGGGCAGGCGGAAUUCCUGGUGUAGCGGUGAAAUGCGUAGAUAUCAGGAGGAACACCGGCGGCGAAGGCGGCCUGCUGGACCGCGACUGACGUUGAGGCUCUAAAGCGUGGGGAGCGAACAGGAUUAGAUACCCCAGUA